rnacentral:rRNA from 1 species
GGAGUACGGCCCGCAAGGUNAAAACUCAAAUGAAUUGUCGGNGGCCCGCACAAGCGGUGGAGCAUGUGGUUUAAUUCGNUGCAACGCGAAGAAACCUUACCUACUCUUGACAUCCAGAGAACUUUCCAGAGAUGGAUUGGUGCCUUCGGGAACUCUGAGACAGGUGCUGCAUGGCUGUCGUCAGCUCGUGUUGUGAAAUGUUGGGUUAAGUCCCGCAACGAGCGCAACCCUUAUCCUUUGUUGCCAGCGGUNAGGCCGGGAACUCAAAGGAGACUGCCAGUGAUAAACUGGAGGAAGGUGGGGAUGACGUCAAGUCAUCAUGGCCCUUACGAGUAGGGCUACACACGUGCUACAAUGGCGCAUACAAAGAGAAGCGACCUCGCGAGAGCAAGCGGACCUCAUAAAGUGCGUCGUAGUCCGGAUUGGAGUCUGCAACUCGACUCCAUGAAGUCGGAAUCGCUAGUAAUCGUGGAUCAGAAUGCCACGGUGAAUACGUUCCCGGGCCUUGUACACACCGCCCGUCACACCAUGGGAGUGGGUUGCAAAAGAAGUAGGUAGCUUAACCUUCGGGAGGGCGCUUACCACUUUGUGAUUCAUGACUGGGGGAAGUCGAACAAGUC